CGCCUCUUGCAAUACACUAAGUAUAAGAGGUCCAGCCUGCCCAGUGACUACGGGUUCAACGGCCGCGGUAUUCUGACCGUGCAAAGGUAGCGCAAUCACUUGUCUCUUAAAUAGAGACCUGUAUGAAUGGCUAGACGAGGGCUUAACUGUCUCCCCCUUCCAGUCAGUGAAAUUGAUCUAUCCGUGCAGAAGCGGGUAUAAAUUUACAAGACGAGAAGACCCUUUGGAGCUUAAGGUACAAAAUUCAACCACGUCAAACGACUCCAUAAGAAGCAAAAACUUAGUGGCACAUGGACCUUUACCUUCGGUUGGGGCGACCAUGGAGGAAAAACGAGCCUCCCAGUGGACCGGGCCAUAACCCCUAAAGCCAAGAGAGACAUCUUUAGGCCGCAGAAUAUCUGACCAACAAUGAUCCGGCCAAUAAAGCCGAUCAACGAACCAAGUUACCCUAGGGAUAACAGCGCAAUCCUCUCCCAGAGUCCAUAUCUACGAGGGGGUUUACGACCUCGAUGUUGGAUCAGGACAUCCUAAUGGUGCAGCCGCUAUUAAGGGUUCGUUUGUUCAACGAUUAAAGUCCU
rnacentral:rRNA from 1 species